AGGAUAAACGCUGGCGGCGUGCAUGAGACAUGCAAGUCGAACGGACACUCGGGGCUUGCUCCGAGUGUUAGUGGCGGACGGCUGAGUAACGCGUAGGUGACCUGCCCCGAAGUGGGGAAUAACUGCCCGAAAGGGUGGCUAAUACCGCAUGUGGUGGAACGUUCAUUCGUUCCAGUAAAGCCGCAAGGCGCUUCGGGAGGGGCCUGCGUCCGAUUAGCUCGUUGGUGGGGUAACGGCUCACCAAGGCGACGAUCGGUAGGUGGUCUGAGGGGACGAUCACCCAGACUGGGACUGAGACACGGCCCAGACUCCUACGGGAGGCAGCAGCGGGGAAUAUUGCACAAUGGGCGAAAGCCUGAUGCAGCGACGCCGCGUGGGGGAUGAAGGCUCUCGGGUUGUAAACCCCUUUCAGCAGGGACGAAACAGACGGUACCUGCAGAAGAAGCUCCGGCCAACUACGUGCCAGCAGCCGC
rnacentral:rRNA from 1 species